rnacentral:lncRNA from 1 species
AUGGAGGAGGAAGAGAAAGUAGAGAAGGAGAUAAGAGGGCUUUUCAUAGGAUUCUAUGAUUUACAGUUUAAAUUAGGGUUAAGAUGGGCGGACCAUUAAUUAGACGUUAUGUGUGGAGGGAAGGUGAAGUGUUGAGUUAAGGUAGGUGGACCAUUAAUGGGUGCAUGGAGGGAAGGCGAAGUGUUGAGUUAAGGUGGGUGGACCAUUAAUUAGACGUUAUGGGUGGAGGGAAGGCGAAGGGUUGGUUUCGCAAUAUGAAGUCCAAAACUAAAGAAAACACGCCACGUUGCUUUUCUUUUGGGGAUAGGUGACUUUGAAAUAAAAUCUCCUUCAUUAUAGGUGACUUUGAAAUAGAGUUCUCAAUAAUUAUGUAUUUAUUUUUAAUUGAUAUCUUUCCGACUUUAAUUUUUUAUUAAUGAGGGGAGUUCGUAUAUUUUUAUCUAAAGAAAUUAUAUAAUUUUUUAUCAAUUAAAUAGAUCUCUAAUGUGGAAGAUUUGCAUGAAAACUUAAAUAAUAUGUAGAAAAAGAAUAUUCUAAUGAGAUUUUAUUAAUUAAUAAUAUUUUGCUUACUGUUUGAAUGAUAUGAUUAGGGGCCUGAUUCAUAAAUCGCCUAAAAUUGAGGGCCUUCAAACAUUUUUUUAUCAUAAUAUGAUUUGUAUUCAUUAAAGGGGUCUCAAGUAUAAAAUUUUUUUAAUGCAAAAUAAAAUAGUAUGAAUGGCAUGGCCUAAAUCAUUUUUUAUAUAAAAAGUUUGCAUGACUUAAAUCAUUUUUGACAUAAUUUAUAAAAUUGAAGGGAUUUCAGGUAUAAAUAUCAUUUUUUGUCCUAACAAAGUGGCUUUUUUAUAAAUAGUAUAAAAGAAAAUUUUUUAUGGCCAAAUGUUGAGAUCUAAAAUUUAAUUUAUCUAAAUGUUCAAUUGAGCAAUAAUUUUUUUACUAUCUUAUGCAAAUAUAAUAAAAUUAUUAAAUUAUAAAUAUUCACUAAUAAUUUAUUUAAAAAUUAUAUAUUAUACAUCAAUCAUGUCCAAUCUUAAUUAUUUUGAAAAAAAUAUUUUUUAUUUUUUUAAAUAUGUGACGUGCAUUGCACGUGCACUCUACUAGUAUAAUAUAAAUUGCAUCUCUCAGAUUAAUUUUAAUUAUACUAUAUUUAUUAUUAAAUAAAUUAGUUCAAUAUAUGUGAUAUAUUAAUAGAUCCGGUGUAGAUAUUAUUUUUCAUAUUUAAGAAUGAGAGAAAGUUGAGGAGAAUUGAAAGAAAAGCUACACGUAGUAGUAAAACUCUCAUUUCGUAUAUUUAUAUAUAUAUAUAUAUAUUUUUUUUUAUGCUAUAUUUUUUAAAUCUCAUAUGAGAAUUUUUGGUUUGUUACUUGUUGCUACUUACUUCUAGGUUGUAUUUUUUAUUUUGUUUCUUCACUACUCAACCCCAUCUUCCUCAAAUUCUUUCUUAAUGGAUGAGAUGAGGGACGAAAGAGGAAAGCCCCCAUUUUUCUCAAUUUCUUUCCAGAAGUGCCCCCCACACUCUCUCCCCACCCUAUAUAUACAUGUAAACAUAGUCAUUCAACCAUGCACACUUUCUCUCUCUCUCUCUCUCUCUCUCUCUCUCUCUCUCCCUCUUUCUCUCUAUCUCUCUCCUUGCCCGCGUACGCAAGCACACCUCUGUCUCUCUCUAUGUCCACAAUAACGAGCUUGCUGCUUUCGCCAAACUUUCACCAAGAGCAAUCGACAGAAAGUUCCCCCAAAGUAGGAAUCACUGUCGGGAUAAAUGUCCCCCAAAGUAGGGAUCAUUGUCGGGAUAAAUGUCGGGAUGAGUGUUCAAGGGAUGAUUGCUACUGCGGCAACCGGCCUACUCAUCUACUGCAUAUGGAAAAGGAGGCGUUCAGGCCCCCGCAGGAACAACAAAGGCUCCACGACAGGGCAACCCCAUAGCGAUAUUGAGUCGGUAGUCGCCUCAGGCGUACUAGAGGGCCGCAUCGCUGCGCGAAUGAUUAGCAACUGAUCAAUAUUAGUAUCUAUAAUUUGGUACGUAGGCUGUGGCUAUCUAUUUAUACACUUUAUUUUGAGUUUGUAAGGAUUUUGCAUAUAAGCAUAUAUUUUGCAUUUUUGUUUGGGUUAUGUUUAAAAGUCUCAUUGCGGCAGUAUUUACUAAUCGCAAGCCAUUGAUGUAUUUUUUUUUUAAUCUUUUUGAAAACCCGCGCGUUGCGGCGGAUAGAUACUACUAAAAUAAAUUUAAUGUCUAACUAAUAUAUCAAAAGUUUGUUGUUAUUUUAAAAAUCAAAAUAGUCCAAACAUAUUGGGUUUUUGCAAAAGUAUAUUAAUCUGCUGAAACCGAUUAGUAACAAAAUGCUCAUAGAAAGAUAAUAAAUAUGUCAACUUGUUGAGCCAAAAAAUGACAUACUAUUUGGAAGAGAUUUAGAUAAAAUAUUCGAUAAAAAUUAACAUUUUAUAAAUCAAAAUAAUCAAAGGGUUAAACUUUUUUGUAUAAGUUAUAUCUUUGUAACUUCAUUUUCUUAUAAGCUAUAAUAUUUACCCCUUCAAGAAAAUGAAGAUCGUUUUAGAUCAUUAUCAAUCUAAUUUUGUAAACAUUCUUAUAUCAAUUAAUAAAAAGAGUCAUAAAAGUAGAAAAAAAAGUAAGUAUAUGAAAAGUUAUAUAAUAAAUUUUUGAAAGACAAAAAGAUAUACAACCUAAUACAGCCUAAGACAGUAAUAUAAUACACAAUUUUACUUUAAAAAAAUAUAUAAAAAAUAAAUGAUAGAAAAAGAAAAAGUAAUAAACCUUCAACACAACAAACACAUCAGUUCGAAUUCCAUGCAAAUAAAAAAACUUAAAAAAACUGAAUAAAACUACCUAAGAAAUUUCAACGUUACAACAUCAAGAAUAUAUAAAUUUUUUAAAAGAACUUUUGAAUUUUGGAGUAAGGCACAAUUUGAUGAAGAUGACAGCACCAAGCUCGGUGAUGCAGCGUGCAAAAUCAUACUCCGUCCACAGAACGUGCUCGAUCUUGGCCUCGGAGCUCAUGGAGGAGGAAGAGAAAGUAGAGAAGGAGAUAAGAGGGCUUUUCAUAGGAUUCUAUGAUUUACAGUUUAAAUUAGGGUUAAGAUGGGCGGACCAUUAAUUAGACGUUAUGUGUGGAGGGAAGGUGAAGUGUUGAGUUAAGGUAGGUGGACCAUUAAUGGGUGCAUGGAGGGAAGGCGAAGUGUUGAGUUAAGGUGGGUGGACCAUUAAUUAGACGUUAUGGGUGGAGGGAAGGCGAAGGGUUGGUUUCGCAAUAUGAAGUCCAAAACUAAAGAAAACACGCCACGUUGCUUUUCUUUUGGGGAUAGGUGACUUUGAAAUAAAAUCUCCUUCAUUAUAGGUGACUUUGAAAUAGAGUUCUCAAUAAUUAUGUAUUUAUUUUUAAUUGAUAUCUUUCCGACUUUAAUUUUUUAUUAAUUAAUUAAUUCAGUUUUAUUUGAUAUAGAGUAGUUAAUUAAUUAAUUUUCUAAAAUUUAGUAUUUAUUGUUUAGGAUUUAAAAAUUUUGGUUAAAUUUUUAGUUUAUUCGACUAAAUUAGUAGCUAUAUGCAGGUUAAUAAAAAAAAAAUUAGGAAAA